rnacentral:rRNA from 1 species
AUUGAACGCUGGCGGCAGGCCUAACACAUGCAAGUCGAACGGUAACAGGAAACAGCUUGCUGUUUCGCUGACGAGUGGCGGACGGGUGAGUAAUGUCUGGGAAACUGCCUGAUGGAGGGGGAUAACUACUGGAAACGGUAGCUAAUACCGCAUAACGUCGCAAGACCAAAGAGGGGGACCCUCGGGCCUCUUGCCAUCGGAUGUGCCCAGAUGGGAUUAGCUUGUUGGUGGGGUAACGGCUCACCAAGGCGACGAUCCCUAGCUGGUCUGAGAGGAUGACCAGCCACACGGGAAGUGAGACACGGUCCCGACACCUACGGGGGGCAGGAGGGGGGAAUAUGGCAAACGGGGGGAAAGCCUGAUGCACCCAUGCCGGGUGUAUGAAGAAGGCCUUCGGGUUGUAAAUUAAUUUCGGCGGGGAGGAAGGGAGUAAAGUUAAAACCUUUGCUCAUUGGCGUUCCCCGCAAAAGAAGCACCGGCUGACCCCGG